CCUACGGGAGACAGCAGUGGGGGAUAUUGCACAAUGGGGGAAACCCUGAUGCAGCGACGCCGCGUGGGCGAAGAAGUAUUUCGGUAUGUAAAGCCCUAUCAGUAGGGAAGAAGAAAUGACGGUACCUGAGUAAGAAGCACCGGCUAAAUACGUGCCAGCAGCCGCGGUAAUACGUAGGGUGCAAGCGUUAUCCGGAUUUACUGGGUGUAAAGGGAGCGCAGGCGGCACGGCAAGCCUGAUGUGAAAGCCCGCGGCCCAACCGCGGGACUGCAGUGGGAACUACCGGGCUGGAGUGCCGGAGAGGUAGGCGGAAUUCCUAGUGUAGCGGUGAAAUGCGUAGAUAUUAGGAGGAACACCAGUGGCGAAGGCAGCCUACUGGACGGUGACUGACGCUGAGGCUCGAAAGCGUGGGGAGCAAACAGGAUUAGAUACCCCGGUAGUC
rnacentral:rRNA from 1 species